CGUGCCGUUCGAGCACACCUGAAGGCGGAGCCUAUUGUCACCCAAGCAGCGCGCUGAUCCACAUCUCGGAUUGGCCGCCUUGAGUGUGGCUUGAAAAGCGGCUUUUGGUUCAGCCAACAGUGCAGAGCGGACCAGUGGGAUUCUGUAAAAGCUAGAGUCCAAGCACUUCAGUGCUGUGGGGAAAUGAGGUUUGUUUAGGUAGUGUUCCUGUGUGUCUGGGUGUCUUAGUUUGUUUUUCUUUUUUGACAGGGUCUCGUAGGGCCGAGACUGCUCUGGAUUUUGUUGUUGAAGAUGGCCUUGAACUGAUCCUCCUGUCAGCGCUUCUGGAGAGCUGGGACUACAGGUAUGUGCAACCGGCCAGGUUUACCUCACUACAAUUCUUUAAGGUAGAUGCCAUAAUCCCUGGUCUAGAAAUGAAUCUGAGACUCAGAAAGGUUGAUCAGCCAUGCUGUCCCACUCUCCACUUUAUUCUUGGAAGAAAGCAUUGAAAGUUGAAAGAGAAGCCUCAACUAGAGAAGAAAAUCCGCUUUUCUUUCUUUUGUGUGGGUGGCAUUCUUGAAGUGGGAUUUGGAAAUGGGAAAUUUUAGCCUCCUACCCUGUUAGAUUGAAGCGGCUCUCCCCUAAUUACUUAGAGAGGAAAUUGUGCCUAGAGAUUGUCAGUGCUGGAAAGGCAGGGCAAAGCUGGAGACGAAGUCCUUAGGGGCUCCUACUAUGAGGUGUUCUUCUAUUAGAAAACAAAACAAAACAAAAAUACUUUUUUAUAUAUAUAGACAAAGCAUUCAUGAUGCCACUUUCCAAAGUAAACACGUUAUAUUUUAUAAUUUGGUUUUUAAAAUUAAUUAAAUUAUUUGUAUUUUAUGUAAAUUGGUGUUUUGACUGCAUGUAUGUCUGUGCAAAGGUGUUGGAUCCUCUGGAACAGGAAUUACAGUUUUGAGUGGGUGCUGGGAGCUGAACCUAGGUCCUCUGGAAGAGCAGCCAAUGCUCUUAACUGCUGAGCCAUCUUUCUAGUACCCCCAUAAUUUGGUAUUUUUACCAAAUUACAUUCAGAAAAGGUGAAUUCUUCCUGUUCUCAUCCCUCUUGGUUAUCUCCCUUCUACAAGGGUCACUAGGAAAUAGGUCUUACUAAGUUAGGCAAGACACUUAAACUGUUAUGUAUCAUAAAGACUAUACAUAAUGGUUUUGGGGAUUUUUAAAUGCUAUUGUGUUUUCUGAAUUGAUCUACAGCUUGGUUUCACCCAAUUUUCUUUUCACAUUGAUCAAUUAUCCACAUUGAUAGGCAUGGCUGCACAUUUCUUUUAACUAUAUGAUACCAUAAAUUGUUUGAAAUUCCUAUAUCCUCAUUACAGAAGCAAUGCUGAGGAAUACAAUCCUCUUAUUCUCAGGGUCUCUGAUAGUCAUAUUUGUAUUGGCAGACCUUACCAUGUUCUAUUCUAACUUUUUUCCCCAAAAAUAUUUGCUAACAGUUAAGAUCAAAAGAAAAAAAGAAUUGAAUCAUUGGCAAUCUGUGAAUAAAUGGGGAAAUCAAAUCUUUAUUGUACCUUGGCAGCAGUAGUUCAAGAUGAUCUAGUCCAGAAGUACUUAGUUUUUCUUUGCCUUUAGGACCCACCUGAGCCCUGUAGUGUUUGAGUUUACAACCUAUGAUAUAAUUUAGGAACACAGAAAAAUGCCCUUCUGAAUGUUUACAAGAAAAAACACUCAGGCCCAUCAUCCUAGCACAGAGAAGGUAGAAGCAGGAGGAGCCUCGGCAACAUGAAACUCUGUCUCCAAGUAAAUAAUAAAUGUCUUGCAUUGCAAGCAUUCUCGUUUUGAAUGCCUAUUCUGAGUUCCUUCGAUGACUUAAAGACUUAUCACAAGGUCUGUUGUCUCAGACGUUCUGUCACCUCCCAAUACAUCCCCGAAUGGAGGACCAAGCCUCCUUUAGCUGGGAGCUAGAGAACAUUAAAGUUCCAACCAUAUGUUUUCUUAUCUAGUAUUGUACUGAAAUAUCCCACAUAUCACUUAAUCCAGAGUGCAAAAAUAUCCAACCAGAGUUCAAUUUCCAUUAGUCUCCUGGUUGUUGUGACUUUCCUUAAUUUUUAUGUCUUUGAGAUGAGAUGAGAUGAGACCUCACCAUAUACACUCAAUAGCUUAGAACUUGCUAUGUUAACCAGACUGGUCUUUAACUUAUGGUAACCUCCUGCCUCUGCCUUUCAGAGUGCUGAGAUACAGGCACAAGAUACCAAGCCUGGCUUGCUUCUUCCUUCCUUUCUUCUUCUUCCUUUCCCUUCCUUCCUUCCUUCCUUCCUUCUUUCCUUCCUUCCUUCCUUCCUUCUUUCCUUCCUUCCUUCCUCCCUCCCUCCUUUCUCCCUUUCUUUUUUCAACAGUCUUUCUGUGAAAUAUUCAUGUGAUAACUGCAUCUGGAAGUUUAUCUUAUAUCCAUUUUUCAGGUACAAAUGGUCAAUGUCCUUCCACCUGGGAAGUUUAUGCUCUUAGGCCACCAGAGUGGUGAUUUCUUCAUUGUUGCCUUGAUUGUGUUUAGAGUUGGAAACACUUGGCCUCUAGGCUUGUCUGUGGGGGCAUUUUGAGAGAAGUCGACUGAGGGAAGACUUAACUCUGAAUGAAGACUUUGGACUCCAGUUCUGAACUGAAUAAAAAGGAGAAAGCUAAGUGUGAGCACCCACCUCUCUACUUUUGAUAGUAGAUACAACACAGCUAGCUGCAUGGUACUCCUGCAGCCAUACUUGCUGCAGCAGGAGAGACUGCAUCAUCAAACUGCGAGACAAAGUAACCUUCCUUCCUUUAUCGCCUCAGUCAGAUAUUUUUAUUACAGUGAAAGAAGGAGCACUUUAGUGUAUGAAAAUGAGGUCUUGCCCUUGUCCUUAUAGGAAAAAAAAAGGAGUUUUCAUUUUGAUUGUUGCUUUUGUUUGUUUUUACUUGGGAGGCCUGUCCAUCAUUUGCCAAGUGUCCUCCCUUUUCCUUCCCUACCAGAAUACCAAGGCCAGAUGGGUCACUGCUCAACCCUUUUGCAUGCCUGGCUGAGGAGAUGACUAGUUUUCUCUGCCUGCCUCCUUUCCCAACCAUAAAGCAGAAGUGUGGUUAGCAUGUCCAUACAACUGAGGGACUGGUAUAUUGUUUGCUUAUUGCUUAUUUGCUUAUUGCUGGUGGCCUGCCUUCCUGAUCAGGUGGGAAGGUAUACCAGUUCUGAGGUGGGACAGUGUCCCAAGGGUAUCCUGAGGCACAGGAGCCCAGGAACCACACAGCUCUGAGAGGAGGUGUCCUCAGCAGACACAUUGCAGCUCCCAGGGGAGGAUUGCCCCAACCCCUGAUGAUCCUCAGAACUCAGAGUCUGAGCUCUGAUCCUUCUCCAGCUGAUGGAGCUCCAAGAGGAGGAUUGCCCCAACCCCUGAUCUCCUCUUCUUCUUUUCUUUUUUCUUCUCUUUUUUUUCCCAACGAGUGAGUCACAGCAGGCAGUAAAUCUCUUAAAAGGGAUUUAUUGGAGUGAUGAAUCCAGGAGUGGCUGCUUCUGUUCACAGGAGAAGGCUGCAGGGAACUGGGCAGACACAGCCUUUAUAUAGGAAUUUUUAGGGAGCUGAGCUUUUGGGGGAAAGGAUUUUCAGAGUGUAGAUUGGUGGGAUUUCAAGUCCUGAGGUUGGGGAGCUCAGGGAUUGGUGGUCUUUCCUGUUUAAGGAUUGGUGGGUUUUAGUGGGAGCCUCAGGGAAUGGUCAGUUUUCCUGCUCAAGGGGUUGGUGGGUUUUUGUCCAGACUUUUUACCUCAACUUAGCAUAAUCGAGAUGAGUCCUACUGAGGAACUGGAUAUGACACUUACAGAUGUCUUGGGGAAGGAACAGGGCUGCUAGAGCUUCCUCAGGCAGGGGUCUGGCCACUUUUCUGCCUUAUGGGGUUAUAAAUUUACAAGGAGUCCAUUGUGAAGGCAGUAGGCUGAAGCAGGAAAGAUUGUCAUCAUCAUGGACAGCUCCCGUAGUGGCAGUAGUAGGCUUCUGAGGCAGUAAAGGUGUCCGUUCCAUUGUAGUUGGCUGAGGCAGGAAUAGAUACCAUGGAUAGCUCCCACUGAGGUGCUGACAGGAGCCCCCAUUCUUUCUCCCAUCUCCACAACCCCAAGAUGGUAAGGAGGGGCUGACUUCCCUGAGGCCAGAAGGGGGUCUGGCAGUGAGUCACUUGAAAUUUUAGUGGCCCACUGCUCAAUUCAGCUAGAAAUCGCUCUUGGGGGUUGCAGUGGGCCACCACAGCAGGGGCCAGUGGGCUGCAGGGCUGGGAGCCUAGUGGACCUGGACAGCUUGGGAGAAUCAGGGCCUCUGCCACAGCUCAGGUGUGGAUCACUGUGGAUGCCCCAGGCUGUGGCAGUGGGGGCCGCAGCUCUCUCCACUGUUUCCAGCUGGGUGACUUUGAUCACUGCUGCAGGCUGCUGACUGCCAACGAAGGGUGUUGAGAGCCCUACAGUGCAGAGGUCUAGAGAGGUGGAAUGAGAUGGAAGUUCUCAAGAUGGGCAGGUCAGGCAGGGUUUAUAAACCAAGGUAAGACAGUUUCAGCAAAAUCAUUUGAGAGUUUUAACUCAAGACAAGAUCUGAGUCUACUUUUGUAGAAUUAUGCCAUGAAAGAAUGUAAAGAAGAAAGCAGUUUGGGAGCGGGCUACAGUGUGGUGUUAUACUGACUUGCUACAGAGCCGAGGGCUGCACGGAUAAGUGAUUUCAAAAGCUUUGUGAUUGUUUGGCUGCCUUUGCAAAACUUAGGGAGUUUUCUGCUUUGAGGUGAGCUCACAUGGUACUGAGAGACUGAAAAACUCUCCAGGACUGAAGACCUCCAGAGACUUCUAGAAGAGACUAGAGAGCUUUCAGAAAGCUCUUGGAACUGCAAGUUCUGAAAGGAGCCACUGGAAGUGUGAAGCAGCUGUGAGUAACCGUUUCUCAAGAAUGUCCGUAUGGUGUCAUGGAGUAAGGAGCAGGGCCUGGCGCAGAAUUCAGUGGUAGAUCAAGGCUCUGGGUUUGAAUUUUGGCACCAAAAGAAAGAGGCUAAACAGGAAACCAAGAAAAAAAAUUAUUUCAUUUCUACUGUUAAGAUGUGUCAGGUUUUAGUGUGAGGCCAAAAAUAAAAACAAGAAACCCUUAUUAUUUAAAACAUUUUGCUGUUCACUUUAAAGACUUAGACAUCUUAUAUUGUUACAUAUAUGGUCUUUGAUAAACAUACAAUAUUAGGCUGUAAUUUCCUUAGGAGUAAAUACAUGUUGAUUUCGUACCUUCAGCAUAUGGCAUAGCAUGACAUAAAGUGGGUGCUCAGUAAAUGUAAUGAAUGAAUAAUGUUCUCUAAUUUUAUUUCUGAGAAAUAGUGAUCAAAGCAAUAUGUCUCUUUGCUGCCCCCCAACAUAACAGCAGCUUCCAGUUCUGUUAUCACAUGAACACUUCACAGAAAGAGUAUUUUUUAAGAUUUUAUUCAUUUAUUAUGUACACAGUGUUCUGACUACCUGUACACCUGCUCAUCAGAAGAGGGCACCAGAUCUUACAAUAGAUGGUUGUGUGCCACCAUGUGGGAGGUGAGAAUUGAACUCAGGACCUCUGGAAGAGUGCCUGGUGCUCUUAACUGCUGAGCUGUCUUUCCAGCCCCCCGAAAGAGUAUUUUUUUUAAAGAAAGAAAAACCAACAAAGGCAGGCAGGCAUGGGAGUUUAUGCCUGUAAUCUCAGCACUUUGAAAGGCAGAGGCAGAAGGGUUACCACAAAUCGGGGACUAGCCUAAUCUUCUGUGACCUUGGCUGACAAGAACUUACUCUGUAACUGAGGCUGGCUCACUGUAGUCCUCCUGCCUCAGCUUCCUGAGUAUUAGCAUCAUGGCACAGAAUCAUGCUUAGCUCCUUUUGUCAGGAUUUGCUAUAGACGAGGCUGUCCUCAAAUGUGGAAUCCUCCUGUCUCGGCAACCCCACAUGUGAAAUAGCAGUUGUGUAACAUCACAGCUGGCUAAGCUACCCUGAAACUGCAGCAUUUAACAGAGUUGACCCAGUCACAGAGCUGCCCAGAUGGCAUCACUAGUGUCCAGGCAGGUGCUCUUUCCUCAGUAGAACAUUUGAGGAUUGCUGUGCCUGUCUUCCUCCAAGAGGUCUGAUGAAGGAUCUGAUUACACAACCUUUGGAUGUUCUAAUGCAUUCUUGUUAAGCAAACAGAAACCCUAUUCUGUGGGAAUUGUAGUUCUGUAAAACUAAUGUUUCAAUUGAGUUUUUGCUUGUCAAGGCUACACUUCCCUUUUAAAGCCAAAGUAGUUAACAAGUUCAGGAGAUAGGUGUCAGAAAGACCUGAGGAUGUUUUGAUCCUUAGAGAAUCUUCAAGCUCCUGUAGUCAGAACAACUAUAAAAGAGGACUUAACCAAAAAACAAAGCAUACCAUGGGUCAGAAGUUGGCUACACUGUUACACCCUUUAGGUUUUCUCUUGGCUAGACUGUAAGUGUUAUCAUGUACUACAAGGAUGCUAAAAAUACUUGAAGGAAUGUCUUACAAAGUAACAAAAAGUAAAAGGAAGAAUGUCUGUAGCUUUGAGAGAUGUCAUAACCACAGACUAUAAACCACACUAAUAAACCUCAUAUAUAUGUAUAUCAGGUAUAGGUGAUAUAUAACAUAUGUGUAUGUUCAUUCUGUUAGUUUUCCUUUAGAGAAUCCUGACCAAGGGCAAGGGAGAACUGGAGAGGGAAAAGGUAAGAUUUUAAAUGUCCCUGUUUAUUCCUGUUAGGUAAUUAGGAGAUUUUUAAAUCCAAACUGCUGUCACUCCAACUUUAGUGGCUUAAUUUCUGUCAAGCGUCUGGUUAUUUAUUUGUCAACUUGACACAAGCUAGGGUCACCCUAAGAGGAAACCUCAGUGUAGAAAAUGCCUCCAUCACAUUGGCCUGUAGGCAAAUCUGUUGGACAUUUUCUUGAUUAAUGAUUGAAGUGGGAGGGUGCAAGCAAGCCCACUGUAGGUGGUCCUUGGUUGUGGAAGAAAAAAAAAAAAGAAAGAGAAAAAGAAAAGAAAGAAGCUGGGUGAAACGGAAGGCAAGCCAGUAAACAUCAUUCUCCAGCCCUCUACUGCAGUGCUUGCCUCCAGGUUCCUGCCCUGACUUCUCUCAGUGAGGGACUAUGACUGGAAUGUAUGAUCUAAAUAAACCCUUUUUUCUCCAAGUUGCUUUUGGUCAGUGUUUUGUUAAAGCAAUAGAAAGCAAAUGUUCUAUUUGGGGAAGCAAUGGGGAAAUAAACCUCUCUACAGAGGGAAGAGAUGGUAGAUGGCCUGCUCUGUGCUCAUAGUUAGUGAUGACAGCUAUAUAUGCAUAGUUAUAUAUGUACAGGAGGUUGAAUUGGAAGAUAUAAAAUUGAGAAAGCUGACUUGCUGUAUGUAAUAAAGAGGAGAGAAAGUCACUGUGGAGAAGUCGGGUUGGGGGUCGGCAUUUUGGUGCUGUUGCUAAAGGCAGCAGAAAACAGGCAGGAGAAAUGACAGUUGAAAUGUGAAAGUGACACUUACCAGACUUGAGAGCAGAGUACGCAGAUCUAUAAGACCAUCCUGGAGGUAUACUAACAAGUCUUGCACAGGCAAAGGCUAUGUAAAGAGACCCUCUCUCAAAAUCAGAAAUGACACAGAAGCAGAGGGUUAACAUGUGGAAUGAGCCAGUCCAGCCUGGGCUGGUUGGCCUGUGCUUGUGCUUGUGCUUAGAGAUGCCGUCUCUAAGAUACAACAAUCUAAAAAUAAGAACGGUGAAAGCUGUUACUUAAUCUGUAGUCAUCACUAUUGCUGUAUAUAUGUAUCUCCACACGUGUAUGUGACAUGUAUACCAUUCUUCUACACAGCAAUAGUAGUCACUUAUGAGCUCAAAGCUCCCUGGAAGGGUUACUGCAGAAUCCAGGGAAGAGAGCUGGGUUCAGUAUCUUCAGAAGGUCUGAGGAGCACAGGGCAGAAUAGGUGUCAAUAGGUGUCUCUACACUGAAUUGAAUUACAGGAAACAAGAUCUGCACGGUGAAUCGGAAAGUAUAAACCAUCACAUACUCUGCCAGCCUAGAGAUAAGAAAUACACUCUUUACUCAUAUAAAGGUGACAUCCCUCAGUCAGGGACUUCUCCCCAGGCAACUGAGUCCUCUAGCACUUGAACUUGGGAAAGCCUGAAGCAGUUAUUAAGUAUGAACAGUGUGUUAUAACUUGUAAGUCUGGUUGAAUAUGCCAAAUCCUGGGAGUGAUGGAAUUAUGCAUGUCUGAAGCUCUGUUCUAUUGUAAGCAACACACACACACACACACACACACACACACACACCUGGUUCUGGCCAUGGAAGCCAAAACAGAAGUGUCUGGUUGUGGCUUCCAAUAAUUUUUUUUAAAUACUAGGCUGGUAGAGUCAGGCAAUGAUUCAGUCAGUGAAGUGCCUGUUGCUGAAGCGUGAAGGUCUGAGUAUAGCUGAAUAUUGUUAGAAUAGCCUAGCAUGCAUAGGGGGAGACAUGGCUUGGCUUGAUCUUCAAGUCAUCAGCACUCAUCUCCGACUGUGACAGUCCGUGGGGUUCACAGACAGCAGGUCUUGACCAAGGUAAGCAUUUUUCCAUCUCAUUUACUCUCUACUUUGUUUAGUAUAAUCCUUAGUUUUAGGUGCUCUGAGACAGAGAUGGGCUGCUUGGCUUCAUAUCCUGGUGAAGGGACCUCUCAGUACCUUUUCUUUUUCAGUAGCUUGCUGUGACAUGGGAGACAUAGUCCAUAGGAGCUCCUAGCCUAACAAGAGAGACAGGUUUGUAACAAAUGAUUACAGGGGUAGGUGCAGUCACAGAGUAAGAAUAAAAUGCUUCCACUGCAUGAAGAAGUCAAUGCAGAGGAAUGGUGAGUGACAACAGGGAAGAUGAAGCUAACCAACAGCCAAUACAUACAUCAAAAGACACCUCUAUUUAUGUAUUACUGUCCGUGGGCCUCAGAAUGAAGUUCAGUUCCCAGCACUACAUAAACUGGGCAUAAAGGAGCACCUCUGUAUUCCAAAAUAGCCCUCCCCACAACUUCUCCAAAUUCCAGUGUGACUAUAUUUUAUCUGUGUGUAUUUUUGUUGUUAUUGUUUUUCGAGACAGGAUUUCUCUGUGUAACCAUGGCUGUCCUGGACUCGCUUUAUAAACCAGGUUGGCCUCAAACUUACAGAAAUCCCCCUAAGUGCUGGGAUUACAGGCGUUCAAGACUGGAGUUGGGGGUGGGGUUGUAGAGGGGUGUGCACACACGUGUGGGAGGAUAUGGAGGCCAGAUACUGAUAUCCAGUGUCUUCCUCUAUUCUUAGGGAUACACCUCUCUCAUUGAUCCUGAAACCUGAUUUAGUAUGACUAGCUGGCCAGCAAUCCCAGGGGUUCCCCUGUCUCUACUUCCAUAGGUGUGCACUGUUGUGCCCAACUUUUUAUAUGGGUUCUAGGAUGAAACCGAGUUCCUCAUUAUUGCUCUAAUGCACUUUUUUUUGUCCCAAGCCUUUUUUCCAGCCCAAGGCUAGGUUUUUUACCGAACACUGGCUACUGCAAGAACUGAUCUCUGGUGUUUCUGUCAAAACAUUAUUAAAAUAAUUCUAUGAUUUAGAUGAGAAAUUUUUCCAUAUACUGUAUAACAUCCCUUAUGAGUCAUCUUAACUUUUUUUUUUAAGUUAAAAAGUAACUGUGUUUGUGUGUAUGCAUCUGUGGUAUUCUGUGCUGUGUUGUAUGUGUGGUGUCUGUGUGUGGUAUACGCAGAUAAGUAUUUAAAUACUCAGAAAUAUGCAGGCCAUCCAGUGACUUCCACAAUCCCUUGCUGCCUUAUUUCUUUGACAAAGGGUCUGCUACUGAAUCUUAAACUCUUAUUUUGCUUAGGUUGCAUAGCCAAGAAUCUCUCAGGAUACUAUUUAUACUUCUCAAUGCUGAAGUUUCAGAUAUGGGCAGCUAUGCUCAGGAUUUUUUUUUAAGGGUCUUACCAUAUAACUUUGAUUGGCCUGGAAUUCACAGAGACCUAUCUGCUUCUGUCACCCAAGAACUGGGAUUAAAGGUAUGCACUACCAUGUCCAGUUCUUAAAAUCUUUUAAGUAAGUGUGUGUGUGUGUGUGUGUGUGUGUGUGUGUGUGUGUACAUGAGUUCAAGUUCCCUAAGAAGCCAAGGGUUUCAGAUGCCUUGGAGCUGGAGUUAGAGGCAAUAGUGAGCCAUUAAUCAUGGGUACUGGGAAUUGAAUUCAGGCCCUCUGCAAGAGCAACAAGCACUCUUAACCACCGAACCACCUCUCAGAUCCCCUGCCCAGCUUUUUGUGUGGAUGCCAGAGAAUUAAACUCGGGUGAAUGUGGUGCACACCUUUAAUCUCAGCACGAGGGAGACAGAGACAGAUUGAUCUCUGUGAGUUCCAGGGCAGUCAGGUCCACACAGUGAGUUCCAGGCCAGUCAGGUCCACACAGUGAGUUCCAGGGCAGUCUGAGUUAUACGUUAAGACCCUGUCUCAAAACAGACACACAGUAACAUUGAAUCACACAAUGACAUCUGUCCAUUGAGGCUGUACAGAUGGCUCAGUGGUCAAGCAUACCUGUUGCUCUUUCAAGGGAUCUUGUACCCACACAGUGGCCUACAACUUUAACCCACUGAGCUAUCUUCCCAACCACCAAAAAGAAGUAUUUACUUUAGGAAGUAUAGAAAAUAAAUAAGGCAAUUAGGACUGGCAUGACUGUUAAAGGUGUAAUCAAUGCUUUUUCCUUGCAAUUUGACCUAUUCCACCAGGCCAAGUUUUGUAAAUCUGGUUAAAAGCUCAUAGGUGGUGAUGUCAUAGACCUUUGGGGAGAAUCUUCUGUUAUUGUAUUGGCUAAAUGGUCAUGUUGUUCGAUUUCGAUUGUCUUCUAAAUAUUUAUGUUUAUACUCACAGAUUUGUGUUGCUCUCAACCAUAGUCAGAGAAACUUCUUUUUGAGGUGGAUUCAUAGCUUGUCAAAGUGCUAAGAUUGAGUAACUGAGUGUCCCAAGGCUUGGCUUGGGGAAUGUUGAAAAAAAAAAAAAAAGAAAGAAAGAAAAAGGAUGAAGCAAAAGAAAUGUAGGAAGAUGGGUAGGAGAGGCAUUGCACAUAUGAAUUUACAGCUAUGGUUACCUAUGUAUGAUCACAACAGCCAGAAUUCCAGCAUGAGAAGGGCACUAGUUCCUGAGGCCCACAUCCCUAAUUGCAGAGAUGUUAGCAAUUGAUGGCUGCUGAGGGAGAGUCACUUCUUUGGAUGUGUGACUGCUAGUAAGCUACCAGGUUCGAGUGAAUGGACCCACAGCCAUGUGCAUAUGAAAAAUACGAUAGGACAUGAAGUUGGCAGGGAGCCAUAUUAAGGGUCCCAGGGGAAGUGAGAGGAAGGUACCAAGGGAUAGAUAGGUGCAAAAUGUAUUAUGUAAUAUAUAAAUGACAUUUUCAAAGAAUAAAAAACAAGGCACUCAACAGAAGGAAAAGAGAAGGGAAGGAUCUGAAUUCAAAAGUGAUUGUGUGAUCAGAAAAGAGUCCAUGCGUGGAGAAGGAGGGUGUCACCACUGCAGAUGCAAUCAUACCUUUCCUGGCCAACCCCCCAUAUGUAUAUGUAAUGUGAAGGUGUGUCUCUUACCAGUGUGAGUUUCAGACCGGGAAGAAAUCUACACUAGCCUGAAAGCGAGUGAAUAGGACCUUGGCAUUUCCCUCAAAUAACUAGAACAAUAGCUGGGGAUUUACUUCUGUAAUGAAAAAAGGAGGAUCAGCUGUGUUUCCUUUAAACUAGAAUGCCAUGCACAUAUAUCCAUGUAACAGCUUUAGAAAUGAUUAGCUAUGCAGAUCUUUUUUCUCGCAAUACCAUUUUUUAUUUGUGACUUUGUGUUUGCGUGUGGUGUGCGUGAGAAAAUGUACAAGCGUCCAGGUGCACAUGACACCAUGUGUAAGGGUUAGAGAACAGCCUCAGCUCUCAGUUCUUGUGUCUGGUUUGGUCUGGUUUUUGCAGUUGCACUGUCUGUGCCAUGGCCAGCCCGCUCCUAACGAGUCUCUUCUCCACCUUCAGUCUCUCUGCAGGAACACUGGGAUCACAGUUCAUUACUUGUCUGGUUUUCCCUGGGUUUGGGGGAUUUAAACUCUGGACCUCACUCCCUUAUGGCAAGAAGUUUAUGCAGCAGUCUGGCUUGAUUUACCGUCAUUUAGAGCUGUCAAGUUUUUAACUCUUUUUUCAUAUAUCUCUAAUAUUUUAUUUACAUCUCCCUUUUACACUUUGACUUUAUCCCUACCCCCAUGCUGAUAUAGUCCCAAAUUUUUAUGUAAUUUAUAGAAUCAAAGCAAUAAACUUAAUUUUUCAGUUUAUCUCAAAGGAAGAUACUACAAAAAAAUGACUUUAGGAUUCAUAGUUUCAGUUUUGUUUUCCAGUUUUAAAAGGUUAAUUUAUUUAAUAAGGACCAAAAAAGAAGAAGAAAAUAUGUUCUCGGAUGUCUGAUGAAAGUUAGUAGAUGUUUGAAUUUGUUAAAUUUUGUAUUUUCCGUGCAGCAUGUUCUUGGGGUAAUGCUAUUUAGAAUAUACACUGUAUCUAAGAAUUUCCAUAUGUUCUUCACAGAGGUUCAACAUCCUGCCAGUUCUCCCUGGAGAGUAGGUGUGUGCUCUUUAUCCUGACAAAGAUUGGGCCCUAAGUUGUAAGAAAAGGUUCACUUCUUGCCAAGUAAAAUAACCUUUCCCACAGAUUGAGCAACAUAAUAAAAAGGGAGAGAUCGCAGCAUAGAUGAGGACACUAGGAAGACAGACUGGUUUCAGCAGCUAGGAGGGCCAGAGUGUCAAUAAUGUUGCUACUUAGAUCUUCCUUAUAGUCUGUGAUACUGCUCUUAACUAUCAAUAUGAGCAAAAGGAAAUAAUCUAUACCGUUUUAAUAUCCAAAAGAGAAAGUUUACAUGGGCAGUGAUAAAGUAUUGAAACAAGUAUUUUAUAGUGAAACAAGCCAUUGUUUCCAGUUGUCAGUUGAUUUGACAUAAAAUUUCAUUUCUAUAGGCAUGAGCUAAAAGCAUCCAAGUUGAAGUGUUACCUUCACAUGUUUCCUCCUGUUUUUAGUAAUUUAGUAAUUUUUCAUUUUGUCUUACUUGGACAUUAUUAAGUCAUUCUUCUCGUUAAAAUAUCAUUGGGGCUGGGAUGUAUCUUAGUUGGUGAGUACUUGCCUAAUACACAUAAGACCUUGGGAUUUAUAUCUGCAUAAACCAGGAGUGGUGGUGAGCAUCUAGAAGCCUAGCGCUCAGGAGGUAGGUACAGGAGGGUCAGAGUUCAAGGUUAUCCUCUGCACAUAGGGAGUUUAAGACCAUCCUGGAAUAGAUGAGUCCUCUCCUGUCCUUUCCUUUCUUUUUCCCUUUCCUUCCCUUUCCUUUCCUUUUUUUCUUUCCUUUUUCCUUUCGUUUUUUUUUUUUUUUUCCUUUCCUUUCCUUUCCUUUUUUUUUAACGUUUUUUGGAGACAGGGUUCCUCUGUGUAGCCUGUCCUGGACUCCCUUUGUAGACCAGUCUGGCCUCAAACUCACAAUAAUCUGCCUGCUUCUGCCUUCCUGAAUGCUGGGAUUAAAGGCACUUUCCGGCUCUAUGAAUCUUAAAAAUCACACCAAUAAUGUACACAAGGCUCUGAGGCCCUGGGUUCAACACACAUGUACACACACUCAUAACUGACAUUGUGAAAGGGAAUGAUCAAUAAUUUACAGAUGGCAAAUUAUCUUCCAAAAACACAUGUUUUGCUGUGAAUAAAUUUCAUUUCUUAUCCAGCCAACUAUUCUUUGAUAACCUUACUAUUAACUCCAGUAAUCUAGAAGGUAGAAUUAUGAUAUGAGGAAGAGAGGUCAAAUGAACUGAAGGUGUGGCUGAAUGAAGAAAUUAAACAUUAUUUAAAUAAUAAACACUGUCCUAAGACUGUAAUGAGGUGGGUGGGUCAGAAGAGGAUCCAAGCUGAGGUUCACAAAUGGCCUCUUGCUGUUCUCUGGACUGGAUCUGAUAAGGAGUCUGGACGUGUUCCUGUCAGUGUGAGGAAAAGUGUUUAGACUGGUCAGUGCCACUGUCCUCUAGAGUUUUGGUGUUCAAUUGUCAGCUAUCGAUCAUCAGGCAUUUGAAUAAAAUAAAAUGAGCAUAUUCACUGAAUUACAUUACUUCAUUCCAGAAUGUUAAAUACAUUAAAAUAACAAAAGUGUUACAUUUUAUUGAACUUUUCUUAUACAAAGUCAGGCAUAGAGUUUCAAAUAAAACACUUAAAAAAGAUAGGUUUUCUCCAGGCUUUAUGAGUUUCUUGGCUGCCUGGCAUACAGACCGAUUUCAGCCUAGUCAAAUGUUUGAUGAGCUGAGUGAGCCUGAUAGUUCAAGUCUAUAAUUCCAGUUACUUGGGAGGCUAAAUCAAGAAAAUAAAAAUUAGAACUAAGGCCAGUAAGAUGGCUGGCAGGCAAAAACCCAGCAGUAAGGAGAAUGGGAGAAGCCCAUGCAUGGGGAAGGGAAUUGCUGAGCAAGUCCUAGAGUAGAAAAGAGCAAACAUUGAAAAUAACUAGAUGAGAGCAUUGGACACAUAAGAGGCUACAGAGGGGGUAGGGAAAAUGGGGUGGUCCUAGCAUAGCUGAGAGCCAACCCAGAUAACCUGCGUUCAAUUGGGACCACAUGGUGGAAAGAGAGACCACCUCCCACAAGUGUAUAUUCGCUCUCUCCUGGCCUUCCUCUCUCUCUCUAUCACAAAGUAAUAAAAAUAGGACUAAACCAAAACACGUCGAAUUACUGCAGUUAGCAGAAUUCUAUGAAGUCUUAACGUCAGGUACCAUCAAGACUCCAAGAGGGGAUUCAGAUAAGAGCACUAUGGAGAGUUGGUCAGUAACAGCUGGGAAACUACAGCUGUGCUUACCUCAUGGUCCAGGAGUUCUAAUAAAAACUGAGCAAGGGAAGAAUGCAGACAUGUCCACUGCACCAUAUAAAAGCAAAAGUUUGAAGUUUUAUGGUGUAAGAGCGGUUAAAUGUAAGAGUGGGCAUGUAUGAAAUAUUCAUUCAUGGACUGUUGAACAUCUGUUGCAUGCCAGUGCUGUUUUGGGUAUUGAGGCAGGGUCUGUGUAUCCCUGGUUGUCCUGGGUAAAAAAAAAAAAAAAAAAAAAAAAAAAAAUUUAAAUAAAAAAAAAUAUGAUUUCUAACCUGUGGAUCACAACCUCUUUGGGGUGGUAGAACGGCCUUUUCGCUAGGGAAGAAUAUCAGAUAUCCUGCACAUCAGAUAUUUACAUUACAGUUCAUAACAGUAACAAAAUUACAGCUGUGAAGUAGAAACAAAAAAAAAUUAUGAUUGGGGUAUCCAUAAUAUGAGAAACUGUAUUAAAGGGAUGUGGUGUAAGGAAGGUUGAGAACCACUGGUCUAAGACAUGACAUGUGGCAUGAAUGAAACCCAGCAAUAAAGGAGAAUGGGAGAAGGCCAUGCGUGGGGAAAGGGACAGCUGAGCAAGUGGAAGAGAGCAAAUUUGACAGUACCUGGAGGAGAGCAUUGGGGGUGAAGGAGGCUACGGAGCGGGGACAAAGGGAUGGGGUGGUCCUAGCACAGCUGAGAACCACAUGAAAAGAUGUCUGGAGCUGGGUUGGCCUGUGCCCACUUUGAAGACCACUGCCUGAAUCCUUAGAGUAUACAUGACCUGAGCAUCAAUACAGCAGGGACCAGGCACCAUUGUAAGCUAACUGCCUCUCUUUCAUCAUGCCUUCCCCCAGCUCCUCUUUGGUAACCCAGGAUGGCUUUGAAACUAUGCUGGGGUUACAGGUGAGCUACUUCACCCUGCUUCAUUAUAAACUUUCUACAUAUAUUCAGUCAUUUAAUGUCCUCAGUUGUCUCACAGAGCCAUUAAUAUCUUGACUCAUUUCAUAGAUAAGGAAACCAAGUUAGGGACAGGAUACCUUAUUCUAGAUCAGCUAGUUGUGUGUUGAUUCAAACAGACAGUCCAGCUCCUGUUAGUGACUGGCUUGCCGACUCUUUCUUGCAUUUGUUCUCUCAGAGACAGUUCCCUACUGUCUGUCAUCUUCCCAACAUUGCACAGGUGCUGUGGGUCACUUACUGGCUUAGGCUAUUGUUAUCACCUAGAAUUUGGAAUGUGGGAAGAGUUGAGAUGGGAGGUGUCCCCGUUCCCAGCCUCCUCCGCUUCCCCUCCCCCACAGUGGUUUAGCAGGUACAGGUUGUGCAAGUCUAUGUAAAUACCUCUGGUGAAGAGGUGGAACCAUUUCACAAGUGUAUAUGCAAGUUUUACUUUAUCUUGUCUUUCAAAAGAGAAGGCAAACAAGGAGGUAGAUCUUGACAAGAUGCCCCCUACAGCACUCCUCCCAUCAAGAGGAAAACUCUUCUGGGACCAGCAAAGUGACACAGUGGAUAAAGGUCCCAGAACAUAAGUGGUUUGAAGAGAGAAUUGGUUCUCACAUGCAUACUGUGGCAAGUGCACUCCCCUCAUACACAAAGUAAAUAAUGAAUGAAUGAAUGAGUGAGUGAGUGAGUGAAUGAAUGAAUGAAUGAAUGUGAAAUUAAUUAAUAAAAAUGCCUCUUCUAUAAACCUCUGAGUUCCUUCAGAAUCUCCUAAUAGUCUGGGAUAGAGCCUCAAACAUAUGGUCUUUUAAUCCAAUAGUUUUUUGUUGUUUUUUUUUUUCUGGUGACAGUGGGAGUCUCCUCCCCUUUAUAUGUUAUUACAUUUCUAUCACAAAUUGUGUGUAUGUAUGAAUGGAUGGAUGGAUGUUGCCUGUUUGGUUGGUUUGGCUCUUUGUUGUUUUUUUGAGGCAGGAUCUCCAGUAUCCCAGGCCUGUCUAAAACUUGUUAUGUGGCCAAGGAUGACCUUGAACUUUUGAUACUUCUACCACUAUCUCCUACAUGCUGGCAUUAGACACAAGCCAAAUGCUUCAUUCAUGCGGAAUUGAGGAUUGAGCCCUGGACUUCAUGCAUGCUAAGUCAGUGGUCCACCAGUAGAGCUACAAUUGAACUUUCCUGACCACACCCAUUCUCUAUGUAUGUUUCUAAAAGAAGCCAAUAUUAAAUGGCCAUUUUUUAUUUCUUGAAUCAAAGAACAAAGUUCUGGCCACUUCAGAGUGAAGUUGAGCAGCAGAAGCAGCAGUUUCAAAAGUUCUAGGAGGUGACUGGUUAGAACGAGGAGCAGAGCGUGUUUCUGGGGUGUGCUAUUGCACAUAAAGGAGGCCUUUGUCUCAUUUCACCUGAGAUGCUUUCACUCUCCAGAGGUAAAGCUGGUGCUAUAGCUCAAGAGGAUAAGGACAGUUGUUUGUUUUGUCUUAUUGGCUUGUUUUUAGGUCAGAUAUCACAGAUACUAAAUAAGUAAAUAAAUGUUUAAAAUUAAUGUUUGAUCAAUCAACUAAUUAAUUAAUUAAAAGAGAUCUGUGUUCUUUGCCUCCAGAGUGCAAAGGAGGUCAAAGGAAUGCACUGCCACACCUGGCUGUGAGUAUUUUUUUUUUAAACUAUUAGAACACAUUUUCAAAACUGUAACAUAUCAACAUUCUGGAGGAAAGGCAUUAAAAUACUUCAGUGGACACCCAGCAUGGUGUCACACAUACGUCUGACAUCCCAGCCAUGGAGCCUGAAGCAGGAUUGACCAAAGUUUGAGGCCAGCCUGAGAAAACCAUGCGGCUUUCUAUGCCCGAUCCAGCUCUGAAUAAUGGCAUGGAGACCUAUUUAUUAAAAGCUCAGAGCAUUAUAUCUGGGCAGGUACUCAGCUGUUCUGGCCUGACAACACUGGCCUGGCCUACAUUCCUUCACGUGGCCCAUUUCCUGCCAUCUCAGUCUCAUUCUGGCACCUACUUCUUCAUCUGUGUUCCCACCUGAGAUCCUCCUUGUCUCUGGGCCUGGAAGUCCCGCCUUUACCUCUCCUGCCCAGCUAUAUUGGCUGUUCUGCUCUUGAUUUCACCAAUCAGAAGGUGAUGGAGAACCAUUUUUACAAAAUACUAAUGCAGGAGAUUCUUCAUAAUAAUGUCAAUAUCAAAAUCUGGCCUGUAUUCAACCCUGUAGUUACAGAAAUUGUUAGGGUCCAAGAAUCACUGAAUAAAGACCCCAGACUCAAGUAGUAUGAAAAAGGAAAGAGCAUUUAUUCUGCAGAAAUUUACCAUCAUGCCAGGGCCACCAUUCCUUAGAAUGAGGCCCCGAAGUGAGCACGCAGGUUCAGCUUAAAGGAAAUUAGGGUGAUUUCCAGAAGGAGUGAGGUAACCUUUCAUUUUAUUGGUUGACUCAGGAGAUAUGGGGGAUUUAGGAUUGGCUAAAUAUUUAGGAACUUUCCAGAGUUGCUAAGGGUCUUUCUUCAGGUUUGCUAAAUCAUUAUAUUUAGCUCAAGCCCAUGUGUUAACUUUUAAACUGAUUGGCUGCCUGCGAGCUGCAGGUUUCAGUCAGAUUAGCCAAACAAAUGUAAAGGGACAAUUUGUCUUCUUGGUCUUUAUUUUUUUAUUUUCAAAACUCUGUGUGGUUUUGUGUAUGUAUGUAUGUAUGUUUGUAUAUGCACAUACACAUGUGUGCAUGUGAAGACCAGAAGAAGGAGCUAAAGUUACAGAUGUUUGCUAGGGUGCUGGAAUCUGAACUUUUGUCUUCUUGAUUGCUCAGCGUAGUUGCCUUAAUCACUGAGACAUCUCUUGUCACCCUUUAUCUUCUAGGAGGUGUAAUAUGCAAUGUAAAGGCACUGUCAUAUAGUCUGUUUGGCUGCCAUAACAAAAUCACCACAGACCUCUAAACAAUAGAAGUUUAUUUCUCAUGGCUCUUGAGGCUAGGAAGUCCAAGAUCAGGGCCCUGGGAGAUUCAUGUUUCAUGAGGUAAGAGCACCUCUUUCCUUCCCUCCAGAUUUAUGACAGUCAUCACCAUGAUGUUUCUUCAUAUAGACGAAACUAGGGGGGUUCUUCUCUUUUCUUUUUCCUUUCCUUUCCUUUUCUUUUUUCUUUUCUGUUCUUUUCUCUUUUCUCCUCUCCUCUCCUCUCCUCCCCCUUGCCCUCCCCUCCCCUCCUCUCCUCUUUUUCUUUUCUCUUCUCUAUUCAUAGCCAAUCUUUGGGCAGAGUGCAGGGAAUCUUAUGAAAGAAGAGGGAGAUAGAAAGACCUGGAGGAGAUAGGAGCUCCACAAGGAGAGCAAAACAACCAAAAAAUCUGACCCAGGGGUCUUUGCAAAAAUCAAUGCUCCAACCAAGGACCUUGCUGGAGAUAACAUAGACCCCUUACUCAGAUGUAGCCCAUGGCAGCUAUGUCUCCAAGUGGGUUCCCUAGUAAGGGGAGCAGGGCCUGCCUCUGACAUGAAUUCAGUGGCUGGCGCUUUGAGGUACUGCUGUACUAGGCCACGGAGGAAGACAAUUCAGUCAGUCCUGGUGAGACCUGAUAGGCUAGGGUCAGAUGGAAGGGGAGGAGGACCUCUCCUAUCAGUGGGCUGAGGGAGGGAUUGGGAAGGGACAACUGAGGGGGCUACAGCUCGGAUGCAAAGUAAAUAAGUUGUAAUAAUAAAAAGAAAAAUAACAAACAAGACAAAAACAACUGUGGGCAGGGAAAUGUAAGGGGAUGCUACUGGUUAAUUGAAGUAUGCCCAGUAUAACUACAAGGUUCCUUAAAAGAAGAGACAAGGCUGGGCAUGAUGGCAAAUGCCUUUAAUCCCAACAUUGGAGAGACAGAGGCAGUCAGAUCUCUGGAAGGUCAAGGCCAACCUGAUCAACACAGUGAGUUCCAGGACAGUCAGAGCUACAAAAUGGCGGGGGGGGGUCACAACAGAGCACGAGCCAAAAAGAUGUGAACAUACAGUGAAGGAAAAAACUCAGCUUGAUAUGGCUGUCUGGCCUCUCCCUAGUCUGGAGCAUGUUGGUGGCUUUUCAACCUUCAAAAAUGGAAGGAAAACCAUACUUUGCCUCAAACUUUGAGAAGAUAUGAAUGCCUGCUGACACCUUGACUUUAUUUAGCCUGUUGUGUUUCAUUUUAGACCAUUGUUUCCCCAAACUAUAAUACAUUGGUAUUGUGUAAACCACCAAAUCUUUGAUCAUUGUUAGAGCUGCAAUAGAAAACUAAUAUACUAUGAUUGUUUAGUUAUCUUCAAGGUAUUUUGACUCUUGUCUCAUCAAAAUGUAAAACAAACACAAUAAAUUGAUUACCAACCUUAAUUUGAUCUGCAAACUUAAUUCCAUUUACCAUGUAACCUAAUGUAUUAACAGAUUUUGAAGAACAAGAAAUGGAGUGCAUUCUAUAUUCAUAUAUAGAAAGAUUUUUAAUUUUUAGAAGAUGGGUACUGAGCAUCUAAUAAACCUUUAUAAGCAAUGUUAUAACAAUGUGAUGAGCACAGAAAAUGUGUCUUAUUCCAAGAACUCAAGGAGAGGGAAGAGUUAAUUCAGUAAAGAAGAGGUUGUGUAUGGACAUGUGUACUAACUGUCUUAUCUGCCCACCCCACCUCUUUCCAGAAAGGCACUCAAUCUUAGCCUUAGUAGUUCUAAGAGUGGCCCAAUGUCUACAGCUCAUCCUGUAAUCUAUUUGAUACACACUGGUGCCCUGGGUUUUAGGCUGCUGCUGCUGCUGCUGCUGCUGAUGAUGAUGAUGAUGAUGAUGAUGAUGAUGAUUAAUAAAGUUUCAUAGUGGCUCUGAUAUUUCAAACCAAGAGAUAACAUUGAUCGCAUGUGUAUCCAGAGCCAGGUAUGUAUGUGAAUGCUUUACACAUACUUUUCUAGCACACAGCCCUACAAUAGAUCACAAAAUUGUCCCAAGCCAGAAGGGCCUGGGGCAUAGAUAAAUGAGGCUACAGCUGUGAUGAACUUAUAAGCAAAGGAAUGGAGGCCCAGCUCAUGUCUCUUUAGUCUAGACAAUCUCCAAAAUACCAGCCUUUGAGUUUAUCAUGUCCAAUCCCAGGGUUUGUCAUAAACUCAUUCACACUGCAGGCCUGUAGUGUCUAGGGGAAAGAGGUUAGCUCUUUAUCCAUUCUUCCUUCCUCUUCGCAGUCAGAUGUGUUUCCUGAUCAGAUUUUAGAAAAUGUUUCUAACUUGAGAGUCAAAGGCGGGAAGAUCGUUGCAAGCUCCAGGCCAGCAAGGGCUGUGUAGCAAGACCUUGUCUCAAAAAAAGCAGACACUCCCCACAAAAGCACUACUUUAAGAAUAUUUGGAUUAGAAAUUGAAAUCAGCAUUUGCAUUCUCAAAGAAUAUGGGCUUUUUUUGGUGCCUGCACGUGUUUAUGUUCAGUGUUGGGGACUGAGCCAAGAACUUGCAACAUGCUAGGGAGGCACUCGGCCCUAAGCCAUCUCCCUGGCCUUUUGUGUCUUUAAACAUUAGAUUCUUGUCUAUAUAAAACACUAAAGAACAAAGAGUGAGUAUGUCUUGUUGGUAGCUUUUUGCAUGACUUUUUAAUACUUUGACUUUAUUUUCUAAGUUCUUUUAAUAAGGUAAUAACUUAUUAUUUUUAAAAUGCCUGCUUUUCCAUGUUAAAUCACAAAGUGGCUUAGGGUCCAUACAUUUUGUUUGUGCUUUUUGCCUUGCUAUAUUUAAAAUAUAUUCGCAAGCUUUUGAUAAUUCUCCACUGACAGCACCCUAUCAUGUAGUAUGUUUUACUUUGCUAGUAUCUAAUCAUCUUUUCUCUCCCAUUUCAGUUGCUGUAAAUGGGAUAAUAACCAUCCUGUAGUUAAAGCUCUAUGUGCUUUUCAUUACUCCCUUAAGGUACAUUUCUAGACACGGCAGUCUGCCAAUGACUGGAAGGGUUUCAGAGGACACUUCUCAUGGCAUUUUGUACAUGUGCCAGAUUUCUCUCACAGAAACUACUCUUUUUACCCCCUCCAGUGGCAAUUUUGAGACGUUAGAUUUUUCUUUCCUUGAACAAUAUUGGAUAUUUACUUUGUAAUACCUGUGGAUUUAAACAUUUCCUUGUUACUUAUUUAUAAGCCUUCUUUCAUUAAUUGACUGCUUUGGGAUUUUUGUCCAUUUGUUGUUUUCCUUGUAAAAUGGAAAAAAAUCUAUAUAUUAAAUAUAUGAACAUGUUGCCUUAUUGUUUUCAGUAAUUUUCUCCUUGAAUUUUGGUUAUUGUUGGGUUUUAUUGCUUGCUUGCUUAUUUACAUGACCUUAAAUCACAUGGGUGAACUGUAUUUCUUGGUGUAUGAUAACUACCUUUUCAUGUAUCAUCUAUAUUUUUUUUGCAUUAUCCCUGGAUUCCAUACAUCUUAUUAUACAUUCUUGAAUAUGUGUAUGUGUGUGUAUGUGUGUGUAUAUAUAUAUAUAUAGAUCGAUAUAUAAAUACCAAUAUAUAUAUGUAUAUAUGUGUGCAAAUGUUUUGAAUGCGCAUUAAUUAUAGUGUGUUAAAAAUCUCACUGCAGCAGGCUGGAAAGAUGGCUCAGAGGUUAAGAGCAGUGGCUGCCCUUCCAGACGUCCUGAGUUCAAUCCCCAGCAACCACAUGGUGCCUUGCAACCAUGUAUAAUGAGAUCUGGUGCCCUCUUCUUGAGUGCAGGCCCACAUGCAAACAGAACACUGUGUACAAAAUAAAUAAAUAAAUCUUUAAAAAC